rnacentral:rRNA from 1 species
GACGAACGCUGGCGGCGUGCUUAAUACAUGCAAGUCGAGCGAGGUUACUGUUUUGGAUCCCUUCGGGGUGAAGAAGCUUUAACCUAGCGGCGGACGGGUGAGUAACGCGUGGGUAACCUACCCCAAAGUCCGGGAUAACAGCGGGAAACCGCUGCUAAUACCGGAUGCCUUUACCUUGGGGCAUCUUGAGGUAAAGAAAGGCAACGCUUUGGGAUGGGCCCGCGUCCCAUUAGCUAGUUGGUGAGGUAACGGCUCACCAAGGCGACGAUGGGUAGCCGGCCUGAGAGGGUGGACGGCCACACUGGGACUGAGACACGGCCCAGACUCCUACGGGAGGCAGCAGUAGGGAAUAUUGCGCAAUGGACGGAAGUCUGACGCAGCGACGCCGCGUGAGCGAUGAAGGUCUUCGGAUCGUAAAGCUCUGUCCUUGGGGAAGAAGGCGAAAGCUUGACGGUACCCAAGAAGAAAGCCCCGGCUAACUACGUGCCAGCAGCCGCGGUAAUACGUAGGGGGCGAGCGUUGUCCGGAAUUACUGGGCGUAAAGGGUGCGUAGGCGGCCCUUUAAGUCGGAUGUGAAAGCCCGCGGCUUAACCGCGGAAUGGCAUUCGAAACUGGAGGGCUUGAGUGUCGGAGAGGGUAGUGGAAUUCCCAGUGUAGCGGUGAAAUGCGUAGAUUUUGGGAGGAACACCAGUGGCGAAGGCGACUACCUGGACGAUAACUGACGCUGAGGCACGAAAGCUAGGGGAGCAAACAGG